rnacentral:rRNA from 1 species
CAGAGGGUGCAAGCGUUGUUCGGAAUUAUUGGGCGUAAAGCGCGUGUAGGCGGCUUUGCAAGUCGGGUGUGAAAUCCCUCAGCUUAACUGAGGAAGUGCGCCCGAAACUGCCGAGCUUGAAUACCGGAGAGGAUGGCGGAAUUCCCCAAGUAGAGGUGAAAUUCGUAGAUAUGGGGAGGAACACCGGUGGCGAAGGCGGCCAUCUGGACGGCUAUUGACGCUGAGACCCGAAAGCAUGGGGAGCAAACAGGAUUAGAUACCCUGGUAGUCCAUGCCGUAAACGAUGAGAACUAGGUGUUGUGGGUGUUGACCCCCGCGGUGCCGUAGCUAACGCAUUAAGUUCUCCGCCUGGGAAGUACGGCCGCAAGGCUA